rnacentral:rRNA from 1 species
AUAUAACUAAGCGGAGGAAAAGAAACUAACCAGGAUUCCCCUAGUAACUGCGAGUGAAGCGGGAAGAGCUCAGACUGAAAAUCUUCGGAAUUGUAGUCUGUAGAGAUCAAGUCAACUCUUGUUAUUGUAUAAAGUCUCCUGGAAUGGAGUGCCGUGGAGGGUGACAGCCCCGUUCAUAUACAAUAAUAUGGUGUACGACUGGUCUUCAAAGAGUCGAGUUGUUUGGGAUUGCAGCUCUAAUUGGGUGGUAAAUUCCAUCUAAAGCUAAAUAUUGGUGGGAGACCGAUAGCGCACAAGUA